rnacentral:rRNA from 1 species
UACGUAGGGUCCGAGCGUUUUCCGGAUUUAUUGGGCGUAAAGAGCUCGUAGGCGGUUUGUCGCGUCUGCUGUGAAAACUCGGGGCUUAACCCCGGGCCUGCAUUCGAUACGGGCAGACUAGAGUUCGGUAGGGGAGUCUGAAAUUCCUGGUGUAGCGGUGAAAUGCGCAGAUAUCAGGAGGAACACCGGUGGCGAAGGCGGGACUCUGGGCCGAUACUGACGCUGAGGAGCGAAAGCGUGGGGAGCGAACAGG